UACGUAGGGUGCGAGCGUUAAUCGGAAUUACUGGGCGUAAAGGGUGCGCAGGCGGCGACGCAAGUCAGGCGUGAAAUCCCCGGGCUUAACCUGGGAACUGCACUUGAAACUACGAUGCUGGAGUAUGGCAGAGGGAGGUGGAAUUCCACGUGUAGCGGUGAAAUGCGUAGAGAUGUGGAGGAACACCGAUGGCGAAGGCAGCCUCCUGGGCCAAUACUGACGCUCAUGCACGAAAGCGUGGGGAGCAAACAGG
rnacentral:rRNA from 1 species